rnacentral:lncRNA from 1 species
GUGGCUUAGUUCCUGACAUACAAAUUUAUACUAUUCUGAUUCAUGGAUUGUUCAAGGACGGCAAGGUUGACGAGGCAAGGAACCUUUUUCAUAAUCUUCUUUUGAAGGGUUUACAGCCUGAUGUCAUAUCCUACAACAUUAUGAUACAAGGAUUAUGUCAAGAAGGGUUGCUGGAAGAAGCAUAUAAAAUACUUUUGGAAAUGGAAGAACACAAUUGCUUGCCUAAUGAAGUUACCUACAACACUCUUAUACGCGGCUGCUUGAAGAAUAAGAUGUAUGAUGGAGGUUGUGUGCUUAUAGAUGAGAUGGUUGCUCAUGGUUUCAAAGCAGAUGCCUUUACCGCCUCCAUGCUAUUCGAUUUGCUGCAAUUAAAAGAGCAGGACCCUGCGCUCCUUGCUUUGCAGAAGAAGUUCAUGCCUUGACUACAUCAAUGAGCGAGUUUAUUAAGGUACAAAAUACCUUUAAAUUUCCAGAACUUUGUCAUAAUUUUCUACGAUAAAUAAUGCCAAUACCAAUUGUGAUAUUGGAGUGAAUAAUAUGUAAUUUUGUUGAAUAUCAAAUUUCGAGAUGGUGGUCAUGUUGUAUCGGCAUGACGGCAUCUUUUUACAAAAUGAGAAUCAUGAAAAAGCAUGUGUUUUCUUUGACAAAAUGCAGGAAGCUGGUUUCUCAGGAGAUGCAUACCACCUGUAUAUUACCAAAACUUCAACGAGUGCCACUUGAGUACAUCAAGGAGAGAGUUUAUUAAGGUACAAAAUACUUUUAAAUUGCCAAAACUUCGUAAUAGUGUGCUACAAAAUUUUAAAUCAAUAGCAAUUAUGAAUUUAUGAUAUUACAGAUAAUAGAAUGUAAUUGUUGAAUAUCAAAUUUCGAACUGGUGGCCGUGUUGUAUUUGCAUCUUUUCACAAAACGGGAAGUGUGGUAGAGCAUCUAUUUUUCUUUAACAAAGAGCUGCUUUCUUAGGAGAUGCAUACCGCCUGUAUAUUACCGGACCUUCUAUUCUUGCUCUGCGUGGUACAUACUGGCAUCUGUUGAUUUGGUGUAAAAAUUAUUAUUUACUUGCACCUUCGUGAAACUACUUUUGAUAUAUUAUUAAACUUGUUUUCAGACUGUAGUCACAAAUUUGUUUUUAAAAAAUGCCUCCAGUCAAGUUUGUUUAUUCAGAAAUAUCCUAUGCAACUACAUAUACACAUAUCUGCAACUAUUAUUGUAAACUAUAAGAACAUUGUGAGAUGGUAGAUUAUGGUUGAAGAAAGUAGAAGACAAUGAGCAAGGCUAUCACUACUUCCAUAAGAUUAAUCCACUCUCUCUUUUCUCCACUUAAUCAGACCCUGAUCCCGAAACCCCCUAAACUCCUUCAUGGAUACGUCAUCCGCAACUUCAACAGUUACUUCAUAAGAAAAAUGGUCAGUUAUAUGAGUUCCGUGGUGCUAUUCUUGUGUUGAACAAAAUGCUCCAAGUGAGACCUCAUACUAGUGUUACCGACUUCAAUUAACUGUUAUCCACCAUCAUUACAAUGAAACAAUACUAUGUUACUGUCUUUUUACUGAUACUUAUGCUUUUACCAUUCCAGUUAUUGUAUAUGCCAGUCAUCAAAAGGUUAGCAGCUGCUACUAAUCAUCCAUCUUCUGACAAAUUCCCCUACCUUUGCAAUAGUAAUUUAGCUUUAAUUUCUACAUCAAUUUUUUAGCGGCUUAUUUAUACUCCGAUCAUUCAGAUUUGUACUGAAAUACACACUUACCACUAAUGAUGGAGGUUGAUUACUUAUUGAUGAGAUGUGUGCCCAUGGCUUCAAAGCAGAUGCAUCUACCACCUCCAUGCUAUUCAAUUUGCUGCAAUCAAAAGAGCAGGACCCCGCGCUCCUUGCUUUGCAGGAGAAGUUCAUGCCUUGAGUACAUCAAUGAGAGAGUUUAUUAAGGUACAAAAUACUUUAAAAUUGCCAGAACUUUUUAAUAGUUUGCUACAAAUCAAUAGCAAUUGUGAUAUCGGAGUUGAUAAAAUACAACAUUUUGUUAAAUAUUUACUUCGAAGUGGUGGCCUUGUUGUAUUUGCGUCAUUUUACAAAACGAGAAGUAUGAUAAAGCAUGCAUUUUUUCUUCGACAUAAUGCUAGAAGUUGGGUUCUCAGGGGAUGCAUACCACCUGUAUAUUACAAGACCUACUCGGAACAAAUUAGCAGGAUCCUUCUACUCUUUCUUUGUGUAAAAUGUUUUUCAUGGGUACUGCAAUCUGGUGAUGCAAACACUCUGCAGCAUUAUAAUUUACUUGCAUUACAUUGUAAGUUUGUCUUCUAUAUUUGGCACUUGGCAGUCUACUAAGAGUUACUUUAAGUGCUGUAUGGCUAACAUGUAGUUGCAUAAAGGUGUCUUCAGUGCAGCAAAUGUGAAGUAUACCAACAUUUCCAUUUAUUUUAUUGAUAUAUUAGUUCUUAAUAUUAAUAUUGUAUUCGUUCUCUCUUUCUAAGUUUAAAAUCUCUUUUAAAAUACAGGAAAAUGAUCCAAAAUACUAUCCUUUGUUUCUAAAUUUGUUUACAGUUUAAAAUAAUAAACUAGUUUUCAAUUUUAUUAUAUUCACAAAAUAUUAUAUAAAUUGCCUAUAUUUAAGUCUGUUUAUUCGGAAAUACUCUAUGCAACUAAGUAUAAACCUAUUUGUAGCUAUUGUUUUAAAAUAUAAAACCAUUCUGGAGACAAUGAGAAAGGCUGUCACUACAUCCUCAGUGUCUUACUCUUUACACCUUUUCUCAUUUCUUCACUACCUGAUCCUAGUCCCAGUAUUCAAUCCCCAUAUAUUCCUUCUUCAUCUAUACCUCAUUUGCAGCUUCAGCCGUUACUUCAUUCGGAAUAUGAGGUUUGUUUUGAUUAACUAUUCUUAUGUGAUUUACUUCAAUCAACCGUUAUCCGCCAUCGUUAAAACAUAACAAUACACUGCUGCUGUUUCUUUUUACUGGUACUUGUACUUUCUCCAUUCCAGUUGAUCUAUGUACCAUUAAUACCGUCAUUAAUUAUUGUUGUCAAUUGAAUAGAGUUUAUUAUGCUUUUUCAUGAGCAUCUUCUUUUGCCAAAUGUUGUUACCUACACCAUUCUCUAUAGGGGGUUAUCUCUCAUGACAAAUCUCUGGAGGUUGAGCACUGGUUUGAGAAGCUCAGCACAAUCAGACUAACUAAAACUAGUGUUGUUCCAUUAUUGAAAUAGGUUGAGCACUGGUUGGAUUUUUCUUUACUGUAGGGUUACUUUAUAAGUUAUUGAACUUACUUGAAUCAAGAGAGCAGGAUCCCGGCGCUCCUUGAAUCAAUUUCACUGUUUCUAAAUCGGAUCAUGGUGUUUAUAUAUUAGUGGUACUUUUUUUUUUCAUCGAUGCAUAUAUAAAAUAUUUAACCUCUGUUUCUUUCAUCAUCUUUAAUUGAAUAUUAGUGACCGUUCCUGCUUCCUCGGUGACAAAUAAGAAUCUUCUAUAGUGUCUGGGGAUUUAUUUAGAGCACUGCAAGUUUUUGCAUCAAUGUUGUUGUCUAUAAUUAUAGUAAUAAAUGUUGAUGCCAUCAAAAGAUUCUUUCGGUGAUGCACAUAUAUAUUAAGUUCUGUUUCUUCUUUUGUGUUUCUUACUAUAUAUAGUUUGGCUCAACCACUUUUGCUGCAGAUGGACACUUGGAAUGGUAGCAUUACUGGUUAAUAUUUGUAGCAGUUCUGCAAAAGAAGCACAGAUCUGGUGCAUCAUGGGGAAUGUCAAGCGCAGAAAACCAAGGUGUUAAACUGGAAUAUAGUGACAUGCAGAAUCUUGUUGCCUGGACUUUGCUGAAAUGGACUUGUUGUUGAAGCAAUGUCCGUGUUUCACAAGAUGGAGUCAUGUGGCUAAUUAGUUCCUGAUUUACGCAUUUAUAAUAUUCUGAUUCAUGGAUUGUUCAAGAAUGGCAAAGUUGAUGAAGCAAGAAAUCUUUUUCAAAAUAUUCUUUUAAAGGGUUUGCGCCCUAGUGUCAUAUCUUACAACAGUAUGAUACAAGGAUUCUGUCAAGAAGGGUUGCUGGAAGAAGCAUAUAAAAUACUUCUGGAGAUGGAAGAACAGAGUUGCUUCCCUAAUUAAAUUACGGGCAACACUCUUAUCCCCGGCUGCUUUAGGAAUAAGAUUUAUGAUGGAGGUUGUGUGCUUAUAAAUGAUAUGUCAUAUGUGUGUUCAUGGUUUCAAAGCAGAUGUCUGUACCAGCUCCACGCUAUUUGAUUUGCUGCAAUCAAAAGAGCAGGUCCUGCUCUUUUUGCUUUGCAGAAGAAGUUCAUGCCUUAACUACAUCAAUGAGCAAGUUUAUUAAGGUGCAAAAUACUUUUAACUUGACAGCACUUCGUAAUAGUUUGCUACAAUAUUUAAAGUCAACAGCAAUUUUGUUGAAAAUCAGAUUUUGAGACGGUGGUCAUGUUCUAUUUGCAUCUUUUUACAAAUGAGAAUCAUGAAAAAGCAUGUUUUCAUUCUUAUGUUUUUUACUCAUCGACUCUACGUAUUUUCAACUUUUUUUCUAGAAAAGGUAAAUUAUCCGAAUAAUUAUUUAUUAAUUAUUAAACUUGUUUUCUAUUUCAUUCGCUCUCUUUUCAAGUAAACAUGUUGCAUUUGAGGCUUAAUUGCUGCUUUGAACCGGUGUUUUGUAAUGUGUGUAUGCUUUAAGAUGAAGGUUGUAAUUAUGCUAUGAUGUGCUUGUGCUUUUGUUUACUUUUUCGGGUUUUUACGAGGUUUGAUGGUUGAUUUUUGUAAUUUUAAGUGUUAUUUGUAUUUAGAGGUGGAUAACGAGCUGUACGAGACGAGGCAAGUUGGAGAUGAAAGGAGUUGCUUAAAAUUGGAUUUGGACACCGUUUUCCUCGCGUUGUCGAGGCGAGUUCAAUUCUCCUUAUCUACUCCGGAGACGAGUUCUCGCUAUCCCAACUCGUGUACAACUUGGCGAGUUGAGCAAGUUCUAUGAAUUACUACAAUUUUUUUUUAAAUGAUGUAUAUAGCUUACAAAUAUAUCUUUAACUGAUAUAACCUACAAAAAUAAUGUAUACACUCCCUCUGUGUGUCUAGAUUGUUUAACUUAGUGGACGGGGGGCUUGACACACAUUUUAAGAAUCCUGUAAAGUGUAGUUUCACAAAUUAUUUUUUUUUUCUUCUGAAUAAAAAUUUAAUAUUUAAAUAUUUGUAAAAAAUUAAAAAUAAUAUGAAAAUAUGUCUUAUAUGCACCUUCAAAUGCGAGUUAAACAAUAAAAAAUACCGUGUGGAUGUCCUUGACUUUUCACAGAUAGAUGGAUAGACUUUUAACUUUUCAUCCUUCAAGCUUUGAUCUUUCAUAUUCCAGUUACUCUAGACUUUUGACCUUUUAAAUAUCUUGUAACUUCUUUAUCAUGUUCAAACUUGUACUUAGAAACUUACUCUAAUAAAUACAAUUCUCUUAUUCACUUUCUAAUAUCUCUUUUAUGUUUACUUUAUAUUUAUAUUAUAUUCAUAACAUUUAAUUACAUCUCUUCAUUUUUCAACAAUGUUCUAAAAGUCGGGAUUAAUCGUUGUUCGAUCGGCCAUCGUCUCGAUUAAGUAUUAAUCGAUAAAAAAAGUGUUUUUCCUGAAAAAUCGAUUAAAGACGGGAUUAAUCGGUUAGAAAAGGAUAUAAUCGGCAAAAAUCGGUAAAUUUAAAAACUUUAAAAAUUAUUUUAAAAAAUUUAAAAUUAAAAAAAUUAAUUUUAAGACACAUUGUACUAUGGUCUUAUGGAUGAAUUGACCUAAAUAUUUAGAAAAUAGAUAUUUUGUGGAUAAAAUCAUUAAUUUUUUAAUUUAUAAAAGUAUAUGAUUAUAAAUCUAUUGUAAAUAUAAAUAUAUUUAUACUUAUAUUUAUCUAGUUUAAAAAAUAAUAUUAAAUUGAUUCCGAUUAAUGAUCCGAUUAAUCCCCGAUUAUCCGAUUGAUCGCUAGACGGUACCUUUACCGACUAAGUCCAAUUUCCGCUUUUUACAACACUGUUUUCCAAUGCACAAGAUAUGGAAAAUGUUAUUUCCAGAGCAAGAUUUUUGUUUUCGGAGCAAAUUCAAUGCUCUCCCCCCCUUGCAUCCACAUAAAUCAUACAACUUCAGUCCAAAUUUCUGUAAAUUGCUCUGGAAAUUAAAAAACUGCUCUGGAUAUAACAUUUCCCACAAGAUAUCUAUUACACUAUAUUUAAUAACUCUAAAAAUUGCAUAUUUAUCUUUUAACUAACAAAAUAAUUAUCAAAUGUAUAGAUGAAUUUACAUUCUCUCUCGGUCUUAAAAUAAGUGUCAUUUUGACAAUUUGAACAUAAUUUAAGAGGCAAAAAAAACAUGCUUCCACACACUAUUUUUCAAUUUUUUUUUCUGAAUGAAAAUAUAGAUGUUAAACUUUUAUUCAGGAAAAAGAAUAUUUAAAAAAUAAUAUAUAAAAGUAUGAUUUUUUUUGCAUCUCAAAUUACGUUAAAAAAAAUUCAUUUGAAUUGGAAUCAUAAAUUUUAAAUGCAUUACCAGCAAAUCAGCAAUACAAAAUGUAGAUGAUAUGUUGCUUUAGAAGCAGCACUCUCCUUCACAGAAACAGCACAGGAGCAGAGUUUCUAAACACAAAGGCUUUAAAAUGCAAUUGUGGAAGAUGAAGACGAUGAUAAUGAAGAGGGCUUUCACCUCCUGCUUCACUUCAAACACUCUCCUUCCAUUCCCAAGACUAGGUACGAAUAAUAUUACUGCUACUACUACUAUUACGUUGCUUCGAUUGCAUUCACUUUCUCAAUCCCCCACUUGCCCUAACCCUAAUCACAUACCCAAUCAUCUUACAAAACUUCAACAAUUACUGUUGGAGAAAUCUAGAGUUGGUUUUGAUAAGCCUGAUGAUGCUCUUCAAGUGUUCGAUAAAAUGCUCCGUAUGAAACCUCUGCCUAGGGUUAUCGACUUUAAUCAACUCCUGGCCGCCCUUGUCAAGAUGAAACAUUACUCCGUGGCUGUCUCCGUCUUUUCAAAGAUGUGCUCUUUUACCAUUCCUGUUAAUGUAGUCACUUAUAGUACUGUCAUCAACUGUUGCUGUCACUUAAAACGAGUUGAUUAUGGCUUUACGCUGUUGGCUGCCAUCUUUAAACGUGGUUUUGUCCCGAAUGUUGUUACCUACACAACUCUUCUUAGGGGACUCAUUUCCCAGGACAAGUUUCUUGAGGCUGAGCUUCUCUUUAAGAACCUUCUCAAGCACAAUCAAGUUGAGCCCAAUGCAGUUAUCUUUAACACCAUUAUUAAUGGCCAAUGCAAAACAGGCAACACUUCCCAGGCUAUGAUGUUGCUUAGAUACAUGGAGAAGAAAGGUUGUAUGCCGGAUGUAGUAACUUACAGCACUAUUAUUGAUAGUUUGUCCAAAGACAGAUUAGUCGAUGAUGCUUUGGGUCUUCUUGCUGAAAUGAGUGACAAAGGCAUUCGACCAAAUGUUAUAACCUACAGCUCAUUAAUUCAAGGUCUGUGCAACCUUAACCGAUGGGAUGAUAUAACACAAUUGUUAAAAGAUAUGGACAAACACAAAAUUUCUCCAGAUAAGCAUACCUAUAGUAUAUUGGUUGAUGCACAUGCCAGAGAUGGAAAGGUCAAAGAUGCUGAGUAUCUGAUAGAGUUAAUGAUUCAAAGAGGUCAAAAUCCUAAUGUAGUCACCUACAGUGCACUUAUGGAUGGAUACUGCUUGAGAGGAGAAUUGGAUAAAGCGUUUGCAGUGCUCAGAACCAUGAGAAAUAAGGGGAUUUUGCCCAACACUCAGACCUAUACUAUAUUGAUCAGUGGUUAUUGUAAGAAGAUGAAAGUAGACACGGCAAUAACUCUCUUAGAAGAAAUGCCCCUGAAAGGUUUAACACCUACAGUUGAAACGUACGGUACUAUUUUGGAUGGCUUAUUUCGUACGCGUAGGCUUGAUGAAGCACAUAAGUUUUAUAGGAAGAUGUUAAACCAAGGUCUCAGACUGGAUAUAGUGAUAUGUAGUACCUUGCUUCAUGGACUUUGCUUGAAUGGACUUGUUGUUGAAGCAAUGUCCUUGUUUCACAAGAUGGAGUCUUGUGGCUUAGUUCCUCACAUAAGCAUUUAUAAUAUUCUGAUUCAUGGAUUGUUCAAGGAUGGCAAGGUUGACAAGGCAAGGGACCUUUUUCAUAAUCUUCUUUUGAAGGGUUUACAGCCUGAUCUCAAAACCUACAACAUUAUGAUCCAUGGAUUCUGUCAAGAAGGGUUGCUGGAAGAAGCAUAUAAAAUACUUUUGGAAAUGGAAGAACACAAUUGCUUGCCUAAUGAAGUUACAUACAACACUCUUAUCCGCGGCUGCUUUAAGAAUAAGAUGUAUCAUGGAGGUUGUGUGCUUAUAGAUGAGAUGGUUGCUCAUGGUUUCAAAGCAGAUGCCUCUACCGCCUCCAUGCUAUUCGAUUUGCUGCAAGUAAAAGAGCAGGACCCUGCGCUCCUUGCUUUGCAGAAGAAGUUCAUGCCUUGACUACAUCAAUGAGCGAGUUUAUUAAGGUACAAAUUACUUUUAAAGUUCCAGAACUUCGUAAUAAUUUGCUACGAUAUAUAAUGCCAAUAGCAAUUGUGAUACUGGAGUGAAUAAUAUGUAAUUUUGUUGAAUAUCAAAUUUCGAGAUGGUGGUCAUGUUGUAUCGGCAUGACGGCAUCUUUUUACCUACAUCAAUGAGCGAGUUUAUUAAGGUACAAAUUACUUUUAAAGUUCCAGAACUUCGUAAUAAUUUGCUACGAUAUAUAAUGCCAAUAGCAAUUGUGAUACUGGAGUGAAUAAUAUGUAAUUUUGUUGAAUAUCAAAUUUCGAGAUGGUGGUCAUGUUGUAUCGGCAUGACGGCAUCUUUUUACAAAAUGAGAAUCAUGAAAAAGCAUGUGUUUUCUUUGACAAAAUGCAGGAAGCUGGUUUCUCGGGAGAUGCAUACCACCUGUAUAUUACAGGACCUGCUAUAAAUAGGACAUGGUACAGUGUGCAAACUUAUUAUUUACGUGCACUCUUGUAAGUUUCUUAUCUAUUCUCGUAAUUAAUUUGGAUUGUUCUUUACUGUAAGCUUAGUUUAGAGUUGCAUAAAGCAGUGUUCAGUGCCGCAAAAGUAAAGUACAAGAACCAUUACAAUUAUUUCUUGAUAUAUUAGUUCUUAAUAUAUGUAUUUUCCGUCGUCUCUAUGUAGUUUUGAACGUUCUUCUAAAGAAAGGGAAUCCAUCAGAACUACUAUUCAUAUAUUAUUAAACUUGUUUUCUCUUCAUAAAAGUUGUUUUGUCAUUCAUACUUAAAUAUGAUGAUUCAGUCUGCAACAUUAUUAUAUACUUGCACUCUCUUGUCAAUUUGGUAUCUUUUGUCCUAGUCCACUAGGACUUCUCUUUACUGUAAGGUUACUUUAAAUUUGCAUAAAGUAGUGAUAAGUGCAGCAGACUUGAAGUACAAUCGUUACUGUCAUCACUUGAUAUUUUAGCUAUUAAUAUUAUGUAUUAACUUCAAUCAAAUGUAAUCUGCAUUGUUAAAAUCAAACAAUACUAUUUUGCGAUCUUUCUUCACUGAUACUUGUGGUUUUACCAUUCCAGUUGAAGUAUAGUUCCUUUUGGUUAACAAAAGUAGCAGACACUGCUGAAGGCGUUUGUUUUGUUCCGUAAAAUGCUCAAAAUAAAAGCUAUGGUACAGUUCCAAUCCAUUACAAGAGUUACACAAAGAUCAGGAGCCAAUCCUUGACAAUGUGCCAAAUUUUCUGGAAAAGCAAAGCAUGAAUACAUCGGAUCCAGCAGCUUUGUUCGAGUGCAUCUAAAAUUAAGCACGCUUAGUUUCCUCCUCUGAUGGUUGUGCUCUCAAGCUAUCACUCAUGUACUCUGGCACUAGUGUUCCGAUAAAGAUCGGUUUCAAUGAGCUCGAAGAUUCGCUUGUUGUGUUUGAUAAAAGGCUCUAAUCAAUUGUUACUGGCCCUUGUUCAAAUGAGGAAGUACUCUGUAGCUGUACUUAUGUUUAGAGAAAUGCAUGUUUUAGGCAUCAUUACAAUUAAUAUAUUAAACUAAAGAUAAAACAAGAAACUCAUGUAGAACUUGUUUCCAUGGAAAUAUCUCAGAAGCAAAUUUUUGAUAGGUACAGCUUGGAUCAUGUAUUCAGAAACUGUACAAAGGUAAUGAUCAACUGAUGAUCAUAUACUUACAGCAUGUAGUAAUGUGAAAUAGAUGUAUACAUUGAUAUUAUACUUGUUCCAAUUUGGGAGCACACAUAACAAUGGCGUCUGCAACUCUUAGGAAGAUCUUGUCCUCUCCGACCAUGUUUGCAAACUCAGAUGCAUGUAAUUUGUCGAGUACAACUUGCCCUGGAUUUGCUAGAUUGAGCUGUUUAUAUAAACAUCCAAGAAACAAUCAAUAUUAUGAAAUGUUAUCGAGAUUUAUGCACUUAAAUUACGUAUGGAAUUCAACUUGAAGAUGAAACUGGUCUGGAUAUGCUUACCUGAAUAGACCUUUUCUGGAGACUCUUGUACAGUUCUUCCAAGGCGUGAAUACCACUAGUGUCUAUGUCUGUCACAGCUGCAACAGAAUACGGAAGAAUAAAUCACAAUGCUUACAUAGAAAACAAUGUUUUUUUUCAGUUAUCAUCGUGUAGGCGCAAGCAGAAACAGUAUCCGUAGAGCAGAAAUUGCUUACGUGACAUGUCCAGUACUAAAUUUUGAAUUUCGGGUUGUUUAUGUUCAGCCAGCAUUUCUUCCUCAUCCAGUAUCCAUCUCAAUAUCCUGUAAAGUAUCAAGUACUGGCAUUAAUCCUUGAAAUACUAAUAGAGUUAUAGAUAAUACCACGCCCUAGUUUGGAAAAUGAGAAGCUAUACCUCUCCUUUAUGUAGUUGGAAUUGGAAAAGUAAAUUGCAGAAUCGACUCUGAUUAUUAGAACACCAGGAACUCUGGUUGCUUCUGGAUAUUGCUGCAUGUUCCUGUAAACACUAGUCCUGGGGAUUCUGCCAAGAGCUGCUGUCCGUGGCCUAGUCACUUGUAGAAGAAUUUUGGCAAAGGAAAUGGAUACCUGUGAUAUAAGAUGAUGGCAUUAUAAAUCUCCAAACCUGAUUUAUAUAUUUGAUCUUCAAAUAAACACAUGGUAAAUAUCAUUUACUUACCGCAAUCAAGAGACCAACUUCAACUGAAGUAAAAACUACGCCAAAAAAUGCUUUCUUCAGCUACCGGAAAAGACAGUUUUCAAACUUUCUUUUAAUAUAUUUAACAUUAAAAAAGGUAAUUUAUAUUUUUAAUAUUUAUAAUCCAAAAUUUCAGAAAAUUAUAAAAAUAAAACGAAACUAUCUGAAAAGCGCGACCUAUACGUCUCUCGCUUCUCCUUUAUAUAUAUAUAUUGAUGAUUGAUUGUUAUGUUAUUAGAUCCUGACUCUAUGUGUGUGUAUAUAUAUAUGCUCAUGAUCAAAUACAAACCAGUUCUUAAAUAAAAACUAAAAACCAGAUUAGUUUAAUGAUAUUGUCAAUACAAUUUAAUAGUAUUCUCUUUAGAAUUUAGUGAUUUGUGCGGCAGAAUUGACGUAAAUUUCCAGGAAUCAGUGAAAAUCGGUGGAUAUGUUCUUGUACUCGAUUCUGGUGGUUGUGGCGGGGGUGGAGAUGAUGGUGGUGGCCAUGGAAAGACGGAGCAACAGUUUCAGCAGGAGUGUUUCAGCAGAUCUGAUAUAUAAAUAAAAUCGUAAUGCCUUUAACUUGGCAGUAAAAACGGCGGAGAUGAAGACAACGGAGGUGGAGGAGGUGACACAGGUGGAGUGGUACUGGAGGAGAAGGUGGAGGUGGGUGGACGUUGAUGGAGGUUGCAAUUGAAAGGCUUUGGUGAAGGUGAAGGAGGGGGCGGCGGCGGGGGUGGAGGUGAAGAUGGAGAUGGCGGUUGGCGGGGAAGAUGGAGAGGGAGGUGUAGAUAUUAGUGAUAUGUGCUUUGGAAUUUAGUGAUAUAUGAGGUGGGUUUUUAGUUUGUAGAAUAUGGAGAUUUGUAUUGGAGUAAAACUCUAUAUGUGUGUGUGUAAUAGUAUAAUAGUGAUAAUAAUAAAAUAGAAUAUAUGAUAAUCAAAUUUUGGUGGGUUUUUUUUUUGCCAAAAUUUAGAACGGAUUUCAUUAAUAUCUUGAAAGAGACUCAAUUGGGACAAACCCUCGAUUGAUCAUGCAAUCAGGUUGAAAAAUAAAUAAACGAGUUAAAUGAUUAGCCGCUUUAUUUCCGGAUUGCUUAACUAACCGAAUACAAAUAUUCUGAAAAUUAAAAAUGAAGAUAAUGAUUUCUUGAGAAAUCCAACAUGCAUCUCUCCUAAAAACAGUAGUUUCACAGUUGACCCUUACAGUAAUUUUAUAGAUAGUGCAACGUUCAGGAGACUCAGUUGCCAAAACUGAGUUUAGAGAUCUCAUGCUGUGAACAGGUAUAUUUUGUGAGAGGAGAGCACAUGCGAUUUUCACUACCGUUCCAAAAACAAUCUAGCUAUCUAGAUGCCAGACACAGCUACAGACCUGUCGAAAGUGUUGUUGAUGCGAGAUCUCCAAAUCUCCCAAUACAUCGUAAAAUUCAUUUUCAAUACAAACACAUCAUAAAGCCAGACACAUCGCACAAAGCGAGACAUUCAAACACAUAAAUAUGACAGAAGACAACGAAAAACUCAAAUGAGUUUCCCGGAUUUUGUGGAACAAAACUCGAUUUUAUUGAAGAAGAAACAAACAAAGAGGAUUAUUGAUAGAAAAUUAAAAAGAAGAGAAGAGGUGUUGUGUGUAUGGAGAAGCGGCGGCUAAACAAUUAAGAUGGGAUGAAAGAAGAUAGGAAUAGUGAUGAGUAGAAGAGGUGGGGAAGGAGAUGGAAGCGGCUAGGGUUAGCGGGAGAUGGAGCGGUUGACUGAAUCAACAAUUUCAAGAGACCUUAAUUCAUCCGUGUUUGUUAUUUUAAAAUAAACUUAAAUUUUGGUGGUUUAGUGACCAAAUGUUGAUAUUUUAGUAUUUAGUACUUCUGGAUUUUCAAUGAAAUUUUUCUUAUUAAUAAAAGGCAUUGAUUUUAGAAAUUUAUCCGAAAUCAAUAAAUUUCAAGCAAUUUGAGUAAAUAUUGUUAUAUUUCACUCUAGAAUAGGAUUUUGCAAAUCAAAGAUUAGAGUUGUGUUAUUUUAUUAAAAUUUAACUCGUAUCAAAUUUCGUUAUAUGUUUGUCAAUAUUAUAAAGUUUUAGGGUUAAUUAUCAAAUAGGUCAUUUGCUUCAUUUCAAUGUAUCAAGUGAGUCAUCGACAAAUUUUUGGUCUCAUUUGCACCACUCAUCUCAAAUUGUGUUACAUGUUCACAAUUUUUUGUGAAGUUACGUCAAAAUAAACCUUUUUUGUUAAACUAUAGGACAAGAACUUAUUUGGGACUUGACGUGAACUUGUACACAAAGCAACGUGAUGAUAAAAUAAUAAAAAAUCAAAUAUUAAAUUAGAAAAAUUUACAAAAUAUAGGUCCAAUUCAAUUUAAAAGGAAGAUUAAUAUAUGUUUAGCUAAAAAAAAAAUUGAUGUAUUCAGAAAUCUAAAAAUCCAUGAUUUAACCGAUUAAUCCCUUGCAAUAUUGCCGGCUGAUUCGAUUUUUGAAAUCUGAUUAAUUUUAUAAUUUUUUCUUAAUUGAAUUAUGUAUAAUAAUUUAUUAAAAUUAAAAUACUAUAUCAUAUUAACUAUGAAUAAUUAUAAAACCUAUAACAUAGUAAAGAUAUAUUUAUCAAUAAAUAACCAAUUCAAUCAUAACUAAAUAUUAAAUAAUAUUAAAAUAUUAAUAUACACCCGAUUUUUAGCCCGAUAAAUCCUUCCGAUUAAUCUCUGGUUUCGAUUAAUCCUGAGUUCGUAGAUAAAACAAUUAGGUCAGAUUCUCGAUUUCACACGAUGUAAUUUGAUGAAGUCACCGAAACUGUAUCACGGUAAAAAGGGCGAGAAAUACUGAAACAGGUAGAAAAACAAACAGCACCUGGCAGUGUCUCUUAAACAGAAGGAAGAAAAAUCAGAAGACGAAUACGGUGACGAUGAGAAUGGCUUUCACCACUUGCUUCGGUUCGAACACUCUUCUCAGAUUUCCGAUACACGCUACGAAUACUAUUACGUUGCUUCGAUUGCAUUCACUUUCUCAAUCCUCCGCUUACCCUCACCCUAAUCACAUACCCAAUCAUCUUACGGAAUUUCAACAAUUACUGUUGGAGAAAUCUAGAGUUGGUUUUGAUAAGCUCGACGAUGCUCUUCUUGUGUUCGAUGAAAUGCUCCGUAUGAAGCCUCUUCCUACUGUCAUGCAAUUUAAUCAGCUCUUGGCCGCCCUUGUCAAGAUGAAACAUUACUCUGCGGCUGUUUCCGUCUUUUCAAAGAUGUGCUCUUUUAACAUUGCUGUUGAUAUAGUUACCUAUAACAUCACCAUCAACUGUUGUUCCCAUUUGAAACGCGUUGAUUAUGGGUUUGUGCUGUUGGCUGCCAUCUUUAAGCGUGGUUUUGUCCCGGAUGUUGUCACCUACACAACUCUUGUUAGUGGACUCAUUUUUCAGGACAAGUUUCUCGAGGCUGAGCUUCUCUUUAAGAACCUUCUCAAGCACAAUCAAGUUGAGCCUGAUGCAACUAUCUUUAACACCAUUAUUAAUGGCCUCUGCAAAACAGGCAACACUUCCUAGGCUAUGAGGUUGCUUAGAUACAUGGAGAAGAAAGGUUGUAUGCCCUGCAUAGUAACUUACAACACUAUUAUUGAUAGUUUGUCCAAAGACAGAUUAGUCGAUGAUGCUCUGGGUCUUCUUGCCGAAAUGAGUGACAGAGGCAUUCAACCAGAUGUUGUAACCUACAGCUCGUUAAUUCAAGGUCUGUGCAACCUUAACCGAUGGGAUGAUAUAACACAAUUGUUAAAAGAUAUGGGCAGACAAAAAAUUUCUCCGGAUAAGAAUACCUAUAGUAUAUUGGUUGAUGCACAUGCAAGAGAUGGAAAGGUCAAAGAUGCUGAGUAUCUGAUACAGUUAAUGAUUCGAAGAGGCCAAAGUCCUGACGUAGUCACAUAUAGUGCACUCAUGGAUGGAUACUGCUUGCGGGGAGAAUUGGAUAAAGCGUUAGCAGUGCUCAAAACCAUGACAAGUAAGGGGAUUUUGCCCGACACUCAGACCUAUACUAUAUUGAUCAAUGGUUAUUGUAAGAAGAUGAAAGUCGACACAGCAAUAACUCUCUUAGAAGAAAUGCCCCUGAAAGGUUUAACACCUACAGUUGAAACAUACAGUACUAUUUUGGAUGGCUUAUUUCGUACGCGUAGGCUUGAUGAAGCACAUAAGUUUUAUAGGAAGAUGUUAAACCAAGGUGUCAGACUGGAUAUAGUGACAUGUUGUACCUUGCUUCAUGGACUUUGCUGGAAUGGACUGGUUGUUGAAGCAAUGUUCUUGUUUCACAAGAUGGAGUCUUGUGGCUUAGUUCCUGAUAUACACAUUUAUAGUAUUCUGAUUCAUGGAUUGUUCAAGGACGGCAAGGUUGACGAGGAGUUGAUGAAGCNAUUCAUGGAUUGUUCAAGGACGGCAAGGUUGACAAGGCAAGGAACCUUUUUCAUAAUCUUCUUUUGAAGGGUUUACAGCCUAGUGUCAAAACCUACACCAUUAUGAUCCAUGGAUUCUGCCAAGAAGGGUUGCUGGAAGAAGCAUAUAAAAUACUUUUGGAAAUGGAAGAACACAAUUGCUUGCCUGAUGAAGUUACCUACAACACUCUUAUUCGUUGCUGCUUUA